rnacentral:piRNA from 1 species
UGCUCUUUUUUCUUAGGUUUGCCUCUACUCC